AAACCAACAGGGAUUGCCUUAGUAACGGCGAGUGAAGCGGCAAAAGCUCAAAUUUGAAAUCUAGCACUUUCAGUGUUCGAGUUGUAAUUUGAAGAAGGUAACUUUGGAAUUGGCUCUUGUCUAUGUUCCUUGGAACAGGACGUCACAGAGGGUGAGAAUCCCGUGCGAUGAGAUGUCCAAUUCUAUGUAAAGUGCUUUCGAAGAGUCGAGUUGUUUGGGAAUGCAGCUCUAAGUGGGUGGUAAAUUCCAUCUAAAGCUAAAUAUUGGCGAGAGACCGAUAGCGAACAAGUACAGUGAUGGAAAGAUGAAAAGAACUUUGAAAAGAGAGUGAAAAAGUACGUGAAAUUGUUGAAAGGGAAGGGCUUGAGAUCAGACUUGGUAUUUUGUGUUCCUUAUCCUUCUUGGAUUGGGUUCCUCACAGCUUACCGGGCCAGCAUCGGUUUGGAUGGCAGGAUAAUGACAUUGGAAUGUAGCUUUGCUUCGGUGAAGUGUUAUAGACUUUGUUGAUACUGCCUAUCUAGACCGAGGACUGCGUCUUUUGACUAGGAUGCUGGCGUAAUGAUCUUAAGCCGC
rnacentral:rRNA from 1 species